UGCAUGUCUAGCAUGCGAGUCAUUGUAGCAUACAAGGCAUACGGCUCAGUAACGCGUAGUCAACCUAACCUAUGGACGGGAAUAACCUCGGGAAACUGAGAAUAAUGCCCGAUAGAACACUAUACCUGGAAUGGUUUGUGUUCCAAAUGAUUUAUCGCCAUAGGAUGGGACUGCGGCCUAUCAGUUUGUUGGUGAGGUAAUGGCCCACCAAGACUAUUACAGGUACGGGCUCUGAGAGGAGUAGCCCGGAGAUGGGUACUGAGACACGGACCCAGGCCCUAUGGGGCGCAGCAGGCGAGAAAACUUUGCAAUGUGCGAAAGCACGACAAGGUUAAUCCGAGUGAUUUGUGCUAAACGAAUCUUUUGUUAGUCCUAGAAACACUAACGAAUAAGGGGUGGGCAAGUUCUGGUGUCAGCCGCCGCGGUAAAACCAGCACCUCAAGUGGUCAGGAUGAUUAUUGGGCCUAAAGCAUCCGUAGCCGGCUCUGUAAGUUUUCGGUUAAAUCUGUACGCUUAACGUACAGGCUGCCGGGAAUACUGCAGAGCUAGGGAGUGGGAGAGGUAGACGGUACUCGGUAGGAAGUGGUAAAAUGCUUUGAUCUAUCGAUGACCACCUGUGGCGAAGGCGGUCUACCAGAACACGUCCGACGGUGAGGGAUGAAAGCUGGGGGAGCAAACCGGGAUUAGAUACCCGGUAGUCCAGCUGUAACUAUGCAAACUCAGUGAUGCAUACUGUGUGAUGCAGUGCUGCAGGAAAGCCGG
rnacentral:rRNA from 1 species